CUGCAAGCCUCCAGCGCACUUGGGUCUGGGGGAACCCUGUGCAUUUCUACAGUGCUUGAGAGAACAUUAUGAAACAGUUUGAGGCCUUGCACUACCCAAUCCAGCUCGAGGUUACAGACAUUUUAGACAACU
ensembl:snoRNA